AGUUCAAAACCCUCUCUCUAUCUCUCACUCUCUCGGCAGCCGCUUCAGUCUUCCCACCUCUCCAGCUCUCUCUCUAUCUCUAGAUCGCAUCUCUCUCUCGGAAAACCACAGUUCCACACGGCGUCUCUCUCUGUAGACCGCUUGCCUCCGUCGUGCUCAAAAUUGGGUAUGAGUUUGAAGGUUUUCCUCUGCGAUUCUGAGUUUGAGGGGUUUCCAUCUCCGUGAAAGCCGAUCGCCCAAAGAAAGGAGAAAAAAGAAAAGAGGGGUUUUUUUUGGUUUUUUCCGGCUGGCGAUGCUAGGUUUGGGAGAAAGAAAAGAGGGUUUAGGAGAAAGAAAGCUCGUUGGCGAUGCUGAUUUUUUUUUGGCUGGAAAGCUGGUUUUUGGCGAGCGAUGCUGGCCGGUUGUAUGCUCUUCGGCUCCGGUGGGGGGGUGGGUUUGCUGGCGCUGGUUUGUGUUUUGGUUUGCUGUUUUGAUUUCAUUUCGUCAAAAUGAGCUUGGUGAUGUGUCACGACAAGAGUGGAUGCUGCAAAACACCCAUUUUGCAGCAGGACUGCAUAGUUUCUAGAAAAGUUACAAGCUUAAAAGGCAAUUUGGGAAAAAGUUGGAAGCUUUGGGCUUAAAGCACAAUUGGAGAAGAUCUAGAAGAUGUGGUUAAGCAUAACCAAUCAUAAUUGAGGACCUAUAUGAUGUGGUUAAGUUUAAUUAAAUCAAUAAAAUAAUUAAUUCGGAAUUUCUCUAAUUGGAGUAAAAAUCAGAUUUGAUUCAAAUUUGGAUUCUGCACAUGUUUCAGUAUUUUGACCAUAACUUUCUGCUCAAGUAUUGGAUUGAGGUGAAACAAGUGGCUCUCGAAAGCUAACUCAAAAUGCUACAAAUCAUUACGAAAUAGGAUUUUCCUAUUUCAGAUGUAUGUUAUGCCAAAAUUGUCCUGUAAUAUAAGAACGCAAAUCUAAACGAAUCCUAUUCUGAUUUGUACUUGAAUUUAUCCUAAUUGAACUAAGAGAUAAACCUCCGAAUUUCCUAGGAUUACUAGGGUUUCUAGGUCUUUUCUAUGCUCUAUAAAUAGACCCUCUAUUCUACAGAUUCAAUGGUGGAGAAGCAGACACAAGCUCUGAAAAAGAACUGAAGGUUAGAUCAAGAAGAGUUUGAGUUUUUCUUCUCCUCCCCUUUUAUUUUUGUUAUGUAGUUAGUACUUUAAUUAGGGCUAGUUUGAAGCCCUAAUCAUGUUUGUUUAGGAUUACAAUAUUGGCGCAUUUGCCACAAUUAUAUUUUGGGUAUUUAAUUUGAUUAAUUCAUGUUUA